GACACCAGCUGUGAAUGUCCAGAACUGGGUAGGUCUGAGACCAGUCAAGAGAAAACCAUCAAAGACAACAGCAAACAAUCAGAACCACUUGGAGGCUCUGCUUGAAUCAAAGCCGAUCAGAAGAAAGACUUACAAAAAGCAAUGAAAAGGCAGUGGAAGACACACCUAAACCCCUGGUGACAGGAUUAAGGAACCUUCUCUAGCCUCAUUUGCAUCAAAGAUGGGACAGGG